CCGGUACCGGACGGGUGGCAACGCCGCUGGGAAUCGUCCUUCGCGGACUGCCGCGCCGUUCUGUCGUGUCCGUUCCCUGUCCGUCCUGCGGGGAAGACACCUAGGCGGGCGGCGGCGCCCGGGGGAGUGGAGGGACAUGAAGCCUUUCAGGCAGGCUUUCCAGAGGAAGAGCUAGCAGACUGCUCUGGAGUCGAUACAAGCUCCUGUGAGAGAAACAGCAGGGUUUGGAGGACCUGUAUUAGAGAGCAACUGUUUUCAGGUACCUGCAUUAAAUCUCAGCCUUGCUUUUCUGCCAGCUGCUGCAGAGCAGAUUAGCAGACAUGUCCACGGCACUCAAGCAAGUCUUUAAUAAAGACAAGACUUUCCGCCCAAAACGCAAGUUUGAACCUGGAACCCAGAGGUUUGAACUUCACAAACGAGCACAGGCAUCUCUGAACUCAGGAGUGGACUUGAAAGCGGCUGUGCAGUUGCCUAGUGGAGAAGACCAAAAUGACUGGGUUGCUGUUCAUGUUGUUGACUUCUUCAAUAGGAUCAACCUCAUUUAUGGAACUAUCUGUGAGUUCUGCACAGAGAAGACCUGCCCGGUAAUGGCUGGAGGCUCUAAGUAUGAGUAUCGGUGGCAGGACGACAUGAAAUACAAGAAGCCCACAGCAUUGCCAGCACCCCAGUAUAUGAAUCUUCUUAUGGACUGGAUCGAGGUGCAAAUCAACAAUGAGGAUCUCUUUCCUACAAAUGUAGGUGUUCCCUUUCCGAAGAACUUCCUUCAGAUCUGCAAGAAGAUACUCUGCCGACUUUUUAGGGUGUUUGUUCACGUCUACAUCCAUCACUUUGACCGUAUCAUCAUUAUGGGGGCUGAGGCUCACGUCAAUACUUGCUACAAGCAUUUUUAUUAUUUUGUGACAGAGUUCAAUCUCAUUGACCGCAAAGAACUAGAGCCUUUGAUGCAGAGACAGUCAGCCACAGUAGCAAGUGGAUAGCAUUGGGGCUGGAAGUGGUGCAGUCAGUGGAGCUCAGUGUACAAAAAUGGUGAAGCUGGUAAUUGCCUCCAUGAGGAUGGAGUUCAUCUGCAGGAAAGAGAUGACAACCAGGAUGUGUCACUAAAAAGCUAUCCACUGAAGAAAAGCGAAGUCCAGUUUCUUUCUUACUGCAGAGUUCAAGAAUGUGACAGCCCUUGUGGACUGAGCCUGCUUGUUAAUCCAUGAAAGCACAAAAGAUGGGAACCACAGUUAAUUUCAUGAAUGCUUUCCACCACUUUCAGUGUUCUUAGCCCUGCAUAUGCUGCUAGGAACCUCAUCUGAACAACAUGGAUUAUUGAGAAAAAGAAUAAUCAAUUUCAUAUUAGGUCUAGCUUCUUCAUUAGGGAUAAGAACCUCUUCAGCCACAAAUGAUGGCAGACUGUGCUCCUGCUGCUAAAGCUUUACUGAAAUUCAGGUCAGGUCCCUGGGCUGACCUCCAGAUUAGUUGUUUAGAAAUGAAACUGUAUUGUUAGCUGCAGUGUUGUUUUCUUUUUGUUUCUUGGUAUGUGCUUUGUUUCCCAAGUGCAGCAGAAUAUUAAGAUGAUCUCAAAUUAAUCUGGAAUCACAGAAGACGGCUAGCCUUUAAUGCCCCCCCCGGCCACCAAGGCU